rnacentral:rRNA from 1 species
AUUUAUGGCCAUGCUACCCUGAACGUGCCCUAUCCCAUCUAAUCUCAGAAACUAAGCAGGGUCGGGCCUGGUUAGUACUUGGGUGGGAGACCACCUAGGAAGACCAGGUGCUGUAGGUG